GAUGAAGAACGCAGCGAAAUGCGAUAAGUAAUGUGAAUUGCAGAAUUCAGUGAAUCAUCGAAUCUUUGAACGCACAUUGCGCCCCCUGGUAUUCCGGGGGCAUGCCUGUCCGAGCGUCAUUACAACCCUCAAGCUCAGCUUGGUGUUGGGCCCCGCCGCCCCGGCGGGCCCUAAAGUCAGUGGCGGUGCCGUCCGGCUCCGAGCGUAGUAAUUCUUCUCGCUCUGGAGGUCCGGUCGUGUGCUCGCCAGCAACCCCCAAUUUUUUUCAGGUUGACCUCGGAUCAGGUAGGGAUACCCGCUGAACUUAAGCAUAUCAAUAAGCGGAGGA
rnacentral:misc_RNA from 1 species